GACGUCGUCAUGUUAUGGCUGAUGUUCCUCAGACUGUUACUAUAGCAGCAGUUAGGGCUAUAACUACGACCCCACAUCAGUUUGUGCAGAACUGUAUGCACUUUCAUAUAAAAAAUGAUUGCAUGUUUUGAUUUUUAGGCAUUCAAGAGCAACCUUUCCCAGUUUUCUGGGUUUAAACGGAAUAAGAUGAGUGUGCAAGCUAAAUGUGAAAGCAGAGAAGAUGGGCAUGACAUCUGGCAUGGAGCUAAUGGUUUGUUAUCCACUCCUACUAUUCUUUUUUGAUGAAUUUGUUUUUAACCCCUGUAAGAAUUAUUUUGAUUUUUGAUAAAUAGACAAACUAAUCGACUAAGAUUCAUGAAACUAAACCAAGAAUGUUGUUCUUGUCGUGUCAAUUGAUCGAUUAAAUGUGCAAUUUCACUUAGUUGUU